GGGUGUGUAGCUCAGCUGGAUAGAGCAUCUGCCUUCUAAGCAGACGGUCAAAGGUUCGAAUCCUUUCGCGCUCA
rnacentral:tRNA from 1 species